GACGAACGCGGCGGCGUGCUUAACACAUGCAAGUCGAACGGAGCGAAUGAAAGCUUGCUUUUAUAAGCUUAGUGGCAAACGGGUGAGUAACACGUAGACAACCUGCCGACAGGAUGGGGACAACAUUCCGAAAGGAAUGCUAAUACCGAAUGAAGCGCAGGAGAGGCAUCUCUCCUGCGUGAAAGAUGGCCUCUAUAUAUAAGCUAUCACCUGUUGAUGGGUCUGCGUCUGAUUAGCUGGUAGGUGAGGUAACGGCUCACCUAGGCGACGAUCAGUAGCCGGUCUGAGAGGAUGAACGGCCACAUUGGGACUGAGACACGGCCCAGACUCCUACGGGAGGCAGCAGUGGGGAAUCUUCCCGCAAAUGGGGCGCAAAGCCCUGACGGGAGCAAACGCCGCGUGAAGUGAAAGAAAGGUCUUUCGGGAUUCGUAAAAGCUUCUGGUGAAGGGG
rnacentral:rRNA from 1 species